rnacentral:rRNA from 1 species
AAACUUUCAACAACGGAUCUCUUGGUUCUGGCAUCGAUGAAGAACGCAGCAGAAUGCGAUAAGUAAUGUGAAUUGCAGAAUUCAGUGAAUCAUCGAAUCUUUGAACGACACAUUGCGCCCGCUGGUAUUCCGGCGGGCAUGCCUGUUCGAGCGUCAUUU